rnacentral:rRNA from 1 species
GAUGAACGCUGGCGGCGUGCUUAACACAUGCAAGUCGAACGGAAAGGCCCAAUCUUGCUUGGCUACUGGAGUGGCGAACGGGUGAGUAACACGUGGGUGAUGUGCCCUGCCCUUCGGGAUAUGCCUGGGAAACUGGGUGUAAUCCCGGAUAGGAUCACAUUUUGGAGGGUGUGGUGGAGAGUUUUUCGGUGUGGGAUGUGCUAGCGGCCUAUCAGCUUGUUGGUGGGGUAAUGGCCUACCAAGGCGUCGACGGGUAGCCGGCCGGAGAGUGUGUACGGCCACAUUGACACUGAGACACGGCCACGGCGCCGACGGGAGGCAGCAGCGGGGAAGGUUGCACAAGGGGCGCAAGCCUGAUGCAGCUCCGCCGCGGGGGGGAUGGCGAUCUUGGGGUUGUAGACUCCUAUCGCUAUGACCCGAGCGUAUUGUGACGGUACCUGGAGAAGAAGCACCGGCUAACUCCGUG